UCCGGGGUAGCUCAAUCGGCAGAGCGGCGGACUGUUAAUCCGAUGGUUGGGAGUUCGAGUCUCCCCCCCGGAGCCA
rnacentral:tRNA from 1 species